rnacentral:rRNA from 1 species
UACGUAGGGUGCAAGCGUUGUCCGGAAUUAUUGGGCGUAAAGAGCUCGUAGGCGGUCUGUCGCGUCGGCUGUGAAAACCCGAGGCUCAACCUCGGGCCUGCAGUCGAUACGGGCAAACUAGAGUACUGCAGGGGAGACUGGGAUUCCUGGUGUAGCGGUGAAAUGCGCAGAUAUCAGGAGGAACACCGGUGGCGAAGGCGGGUCUCUGGGCAGUAACUGACGCUGAGGAGCGAAAGCGUGGGGAGCGAACAGG